rnacentral:tRNA from 1 species
GCGGACGUGGCGAAACUGGUAGACGCAGCAGACUUAAAAUCUGCCGACCAUUGGUCUUGCGGGUUCAAGUCCCGCCGUCCGCACCA